CCUACGGGAGGCAGCAGUGAGGAAUAUUGGUCAAUGGCCGGAAGUCUGAACCAGCCAUGCCGCGUGAAGGUCAGUGCCCUAUGGGCGUUAAACUUCUUUUGUGCGGGAGCAAUAAUGGUCACGUGUGGCCAGACGAGAGUACCGUACGAAUAAGCAUCGGCUAACUCCGUGCCAGCAGCCGCGGUAAUACGGGGGAUGCAAGCGUUAUCCGGAUUUAUUGGGUUUAAAGGGUGCGUAGGCUGUGAGGUAAGUCAGCGGUGAAAUGCCCCCGCGUAACGGGGUGAAGUGCCAUUGAUACUGCCAUGCUGGAAUGCGGAUGCUGUGGGAGGAAUGUGUGGUGUAGCGGUGAAAUGCAUAGAUAUCACACAGAACACCGAUUGCGAAGGCAUCUCACGAAUCCGCGAUUGACGCUGAUGCACGAAAGCGUGGGUAUCAAACAGGAUUAGAUACCCCGGUAGUC
rnacentral:rRNA from 1 species